GUGGGGAAUAUUGGACAAUGGGCGAAAGCCUGAUCCAGCCAUGCCGCGUGUGUGAAGAAGGUCUUCGGAUUGUAAAGCACUUUAAGUUGGGAGGAAGGGCAGUAAGUUAAUACCUUGCUGUUUUGACGUUACCGACAGAAUAAGCACCGGCUAACUUCGUGCCAGCAGCCGCGGUAAUACGAAGGGUGCACGCGUUAAUCGGAAUUACUGGGCGUAAAGCGCGCGUAGGUGGGUUUGUAAGUUGGAGGUGAAAUCCCCGGGCUCGACCUGGGAACUGCCGUCAAUACGGCAUGACUAGAGUACGGUAGAGGGUAGUGGAAUGUCCUUUGUAGCGGUGAAAUGCGUAGAUAUAGGAAGGAACACCAGUGGCGAAGGCGACUACCUGGACUGAUACUGACACUGAGGUGCGAAAGCGUGGGGAGCAAACAGGAUUAGAAACCCCUGUAGUCC
rnacentral:rRNA from 1 species